GACGAACGCUGGCGGCGUGCCUAAUACAUGCAAGUAGAACGCUGAAGCUUGGUGCUUGCACCGAGCGGAUGAGUUGCGAACGGGUGAGUAACGCGUAGGUAACCUGCCUGGUAGCGGGGGAUAACUAUUGGAAACGAUAGCUAAUACCGCAUAAGAGUAGAUGUUGCAUGACAUUUGCUUAAAAGGUGCAAUUGCAUCACUACCAGAUGGACCCGCGUUGUAUUAGCUAGUUGGUGAGGUAACGGCUCACCAAGGCAACGAUACAUAGCCGACCUGAGAGGGUGAUCGGCCACACUGGGACUGAGACACGGCCCAGACUCCUACGGGAGGCAGCAGUAGGGAAUCUUCGGCAAUGGACGGAAGUCUGACCGAGCAACGCCGCGUGAGUGAAGAAGGUUUUCGGAUCGUAAAGCUCUGUUGUAAGAGAAGAACGAGUGUGGGAGUGGAAAGUUCACACUGUGACGGUAUCUUACCAGAAAGGGACGGCUAACUACGUG
rnacentral:rRNA from 1 species